UACGUAGGGUGCAAGCGUUAAUCGGAAUUACUGGGCGUAAAGCGUGCGCAGGCGGCUUUGCAAGACAGAUGUGAAAUCCCCGGGCUUAACCUGGGAACUGCAUUGUGACUGCAUGGCUGGAGUGCGGCAGAGGGGGAUGGAAUUCCGCGUGUAGCAGUGAAAUGCGUAGAUAUGCGGAGGAACACCGAUGGCGAAGGCAAUCCCCUGGGCCUGCACUGACGCUCAUGCACGAAAGCGUGGGGAGCAAACAGG
rnacentral:rRNA from 1 species